rnacentral:lncRNA from 1 species
GCCGUGGCACUCGGGAAAACUUCUGCACAAGAUGGCCAGGCGCUGAGUGCCUGGGCGCGCACAGUCCCCUGCAGCAACAGCAGCAGAGAGGAGGUCCAUGGCGGUGGCCGAGCUCUACGCGCAGGCCCUCGGAGUCUGGAGGACUCCGGCAAGAUUGGCGGUGUUUUCUAGAAUGCUGGUGCGCUUCCCUGUGCAGGCGAAGGAAGACACUCGGGGGAUCCACCUGGAGUUGCCCGGUCUGAGCACAGGAACCAGCAGCCCAGAGUCCCAGGCCCCGGGUGCUGUUGGGCUCUUUUUAACCAGUGUAAGGGUGCAUUAACUCAGAGAGCACCUCAGACAGGCCUGACCGGGAGCACAUGCAUUCUGGAAAACUUCCAGAAGCGAAGAGCUUCAUCCUCACCCAGGAAAAAAAUGUAGCCUGGACAUCACUACUGGCUGGAAAUCAGGCUGACUUCAAACUCACAGUUUUGUCUGCCUCUGCCUCCAGAGUGCUGAGACUAAAGGUCCAUGCUCCACCAAGUUUUUAAGAGAGGUUCUUGCUUUGUGUCCCUGGUUGGAAUGGCCCUCCGUCCAUAGCUCAGGCUGACUUCAGACUCACGGAGAUCUUGCCUCAGCCACGAUAGCGAUGGUAUUACAGACAUACCCCACCCCUCCUAUCUUUCUGCCUUAUAUUUAAAAGGCACUUUCACCAUCUCUGUAUAGUAAAAGAUCCUUGUCACGCUUAUCUUUCCGUCGGGGUUGGAGGAAGAUUUUCUUCUACUUUGUUUAAUGAAUAAAUUGCAAGCACACAUC